AACGAACGCUGGCGGCAGGCUUAACACAUGCAGGUCGAGCGCCCCGCAAGGGGAGCGGCAGACGGGUGAGUAACGCGUGGGAAUCUACCCAUCUCUACGGAAUAACGCAUGGAAACGUGUGCUAAUACCGUAUACGUCCUUCGGGAGAAAGAUUUAUCGGAGAUGGAUGAGCCCGCGUUGGAUUAGCUAGUUGGUGGGGUAAAGGCCUACCAAGGCGACGAUCCAUAGCUGGUCUGAGAGGAUGAUCAGACACACUGGGACUGAGACACGGCCCAGACUCCUACGGGAGGCAGCAGUGGGGAAUAUUGGCCAAUGGGCGCAAGCCUGGUCCAGCCAUGCCGCGUGAGUGAUGAAGGCCCUAGGGAUGUAAAGCUCUUUCACCGGUGAAGAUAAUGACGGUAACCGGAGAAGAAGCCCCGGCUAACUUCGUGCCAGCCGCCGCGGUAAAAC
rnacentral:rRNA from 1 species